rnacentral:misc_RNA from 1 species
UCCGAGUUGACCCCGGCAGUCUCCUAUGAGUCCCCACCAUCACGUGCUGGCAACAUAGAACGAGGGUUGCGCUCGUUGCGGGACUUAACCCAACAUCUCACGACACGAGCUGACGACAACCAUGCACCACCUGUGCACGACCCUUGCGGACCCCCGCCAAUUCCUUUGAGUUUCAAUCUUGCGAUCGUACUUCCCAGGUGGAUUACUUAAUGCUUUCGCUCAGACACCAACAGUGUAUCGCUGAUGUCGAGUAAUCAUCGUUUAGGGCGUGGACUAC